rnacentral:rRNA from 1 species
GGAACCGCGAGGCCACGGAUUGGUACCCCCUUAGUUUGGUCCCGGGCUCCGGAGGCCCGACAAGGGGAACCGGGGCCCUUCCCCCCGGGGUUUGUCCCGGGCCCCGGGGCCCGCCCCAAGGUAAACAGAAGGGGGCCCCCCUGGGGGUUUUCCCCGGCCCGGGCGGCGGGCCCCAUGGACCCAAAAUGGAACGCCCUCCGGGGUCGCCCCCGGCUGGGAUUGCGGGGCAAUAAAAAAAUGGGGGGGGAACGGCCCCCCCGGGCGACGAUGCGUACCCCACCCGAAAGGGUGAUCGGCCCCCCCGGGCCUGGCCCCCCGCCCUAACUCCCUCGGGAGGGUCUGGUAGGGAAUCCUCCACCAUGGGCCCAAGUCUGGUGGAGGCCCCCCCCGUGAGCAACGGAAGCUUUCGGGUCGUAUAUUUCUGUUUUCACGGAAGACCACCUGCCCCCCGGGAUGGCGGGCUCCUUGUCCGUCCCCUUGCGGGAAACUCCCCGCGAAAUUCUGGCCCGCAGACCCGGGGGUAUUUCCUGUGCCGGGACUCGCCUCUCCCGGCUAUUUUGGUGCGGCAAGUCCCGCCCCUGGGCCCUCCUUUAGUCUUUUCGGUGUAUCCCCCCCCGCCCUACUCGGGGGGGGGGUUCUGUGGGCCAUCGGGCGUGCUUUUGUUCUUUUCGGGGCCGAUAAGGUGGCCUUCCCCCCCGGCUGGGGCUGUGACGCCCCCUUUCUUCGCCUUUGGAUCCCCCCCUGGGCCGCCGCGCCUCCCCCUUGGGGCCCCUCACUUGGUAUGCUCGGUGGGGGUUA